CUUUCAAUUCCUUUUGGGAUUAAUC
rnacentral:other from 13 species